rnacentral:rRNA from 1 species
UACGGAGGGGGCGAGCAUUAUUCGGAAUUAUUGGGCGUAAAGGGCGCGUAGGCGGCUAUGCAAGUCAAAGGUGAAAUCCCUCGGCUCAACUGAGGAACUGCCUUUGAAACUGCUUGGCUUGAGUCCGGGAGGGGGUAGCGGAAUUCCCAGUGUAGCGGUGAAAUGCGUAGAUAUUGGGAGGAACACCAGUGGCGAAGGCGGCUACCUGGACCGGAACUGACGCUGAUGCGCGAAAGCGUGGGUAGCAAACAGG